AAACAACGUGCCCAGCCUGUGCAGAAGGGCUGAGCCUCCAGUUCCUGUCCAGCUCCUGACACAAAACCCUGUGCUUCCUCUCCAUCUCUGGAGCCUUGUAAGACCCUUCCUCUUCCCAGCAUAUCAAAUUGCAGCUGUCUCGAGCUGACUGGCAGCAAAUUGCUGCUCCCGAGUCUGCCCUUGGGUUUUUUCCAAGCAGAAGGAAAAGGCUGGAAGGUGCCGGUCUCUGCGGUCGCAGCUGUCCCAGCGAGCUCAUUUCUGCCCUGCUGAGAGACGCCGGCAGCCUGCGGGCGGGGCCGGGGAGCACCCUGUCAGGUGGGCAUGGUGCCUGCCUUCCCCAGCCCGACGGGAACAGACAGGCACAAAGACUGCAGUAGGUAUCACUAGGGAGGACUAGCAGCAUCUACAGUGCAACACCUCUCACAGAUUGUUAUGGGAAUUACUCAUUUACUUCACUGCAAGCUAUAUUUGACCUGAUAGCAGCUACACUUGAAAAGAUAACUGGAUUGUCAAAAUUUCACCCAUACCUCCCAUGGCAUUGGACAAACAUGCUAAUUGAAAACUUACGAGACUGCAGAGAUUUUGAAGCCCAACAGCCAAGCAGGUUCCAGGCCAGCUCUAUGACUGUGCUGUCCCCAGGGAAGGAAGGGUCCUCCUGCCACGCUGGCUA
rnacentral:lncRNA from 1 species